rnacentral:rRNA from 1 species
AUAUUGGACAAUGGGCGAAAGCCUGAUCCAGCAAUGCCGCGUGAGUGAUGAAGGCCCUAGGGUUGUAAAGCUCUUUUACCCGGGAUGAUAAUGACAGUACCGGGAGAAUAAGCUCCGGCUAACUCCGUGCCAGCAGCCGCGGUAAUACGGAGGGAGCUAGCGUUGUUCGGAAUUACUGGGCGUAAAGCGCGAGUAGGCGGUUACUCAAGUCAGAGGUGAAAGCCCGGGGCUCAACCCCGGAACUGCCUUUGAAACUAGGUGACUAGAAUCUUGGAGAGGUCAGUGGAAUUCCGAGUGUAGAGGUGAAAUUCGUAGAUAUUCGGAAGAACACCAGUGGCGAAGGCGACUGACUGGACAAGUAUUGACGCUGAGGUGCGAAAGCGUGGAGAGCAAACAGG